rnacentral:piRNA from 1 species
GGCUGGUCCGAUGGUAGUGAGUUA